rnacentral:rRNA from 1 species
CAAUAGCGUAUAUUUAAGUUGUUGCAGUUAAAAAGCUCGUAGUUGGAUUUCGGGUGGGACGCAGCGGUCUCGCAUUGCGUUUGUACUGCUGCAGCCCUCCUUCUUGCCGGGGGCGGCCUCUCGGACUUCACUGUCUGGGGGUCAGAAUCGGCGAUGUUACUUUGAGUAAAUUAGAGUGUUCAAAGCAAGCCUUCGCUCUGAAUAUAAUAGCAUGGGAUAACACGACAGGACUCUGGCCUAUCGUGUUGGUCUGUAGGACCGGAGUAAUGAUUAAGAGGAACAGUCGGGGGCAUUCGUAUUCCAUUGUCAGAGGUGAAAUUCUUAGAUUUAUGGAAGACGAACAUCUGCGAAAGCAUUUGCCAAGGAUGUUUUCAUUG